rnacentral:rRNA from 1 species
UACGAAGGGUGCAAGCGUUGUUCGGAAUUACUGGGCGUAAAGGGUUCGUAGGCGGGCCUCUAAGUCACGUGUGAAAUCCCCAAGCUUAACUUGGGACGUGCACGUGAAACUGGAGAUCUUGAAUACUAGAGAGGGUGGUGGAAUUGCUGGUGUAGGAGUGACAUCCGUAGAGAUCAGCAGGAACACCGGAGGCGAAGGCGACCACCUGGCUAGAUAUUGACGCUGAGGAACGAAAGCGUGGGGAGCAAACAGG